CUGGAAUAUUUCAAUUUUGGAGAAUCUCUUAAAUAAUGGGUUAAAGUUAUGUAUAGUAACCCCAGGUGUAUAAUAGUAAAUAAUGGCUACAUCUUAGAAAGUUUUAUAUUGUCAAGAGGAGUAAAACAAGGUUAACUAUCGUCAUAUAUAUGAAAGUGUUAGCUGUUCAAUUAGAUCCAACAAUAACAUUAAGGGAUUCGAAAUCCAUGGCUUAAAAUCAGAGGUGUCAUUGUAUGCUGAUGAUUCAUGUUUUCUUUUAAAACCACAAUCAGAAUCCCUCCACAGCCUCAUAGAGGAUCUAGGUACUUUUUAUAACCUCUCUGGAUUAAAACCAAAUUAUGAUAAAAUUACAUUUUGGAUCACACAAAAAAUUCAACAUUUAUAUUACCGUAUAGUUUACCAGUAAAAUGGUCUAACACGGAUGUGGACAUACUCGGUAUACAUAUCCCGAAAGAAAGAAAUGAUCUCUCUCCAAUAAAUGACCUGAGCCCUAGGACCAUGCCUCAGGACUACCUGGCAUGAUGACUUCUUGCUGUUCCCAGUCCACCUGGCCAUGCUGCUGCUCCAGUUUCAACUGUUCAACUGGCUAUGGAACCCUGACCUGUUCACCGGACGUGCUUGUUGCACCCUCGACAACUACUAUGAUUAUUAUUAUUUGACCAUGCUGGUCAUUUAUGAACAUUUUAACAUCUUGACCAUGUUCUGUUAUAAUAUCCACCCGGCACAGCCAGAAGAGGACUGGCCACCCCUCAUAGCCUGGUUCCUCUCUAGGAUUCUUCCUAGGUUUUUGGCCUUUCUAAGGAGUUUUUCCUAGGGAGUUUUUCCUAGCCACCGUGCUUCUUUCACAUGCAUUGCUUGCUGUU
rnacentral:lncRNA from 1 species